rnacentral:rRNA from 1 species
GUCGAACGCCCCCUUCGGGGGGAGUGGCAGACGGGUGAGUAACGCGUGGGAACCUACCCAAUGGUACGGAAUAACUCGGGGAAACUCGUGCUAAUACCGUAUAAGCCCUACGGGGGAAAGAUUUAUCGCCAUUGGACGGGCCCGCGUUGGAUUAGCUAGUUGGUGAGGUAAAGGCUCACCAAGGCGACGAUCCAUAGCUGGUCUGAGAGGAUGAUCAGCCACACUGGGACUGAGACACGGCCCAGACUCCUACGGGAGGCAGCAGUGGGGAAUAUUGGACAAUGGGCGAAAGCCUGAUCCAGCCAUGCCGCGUGGGUGAAGAAGGCCUUAGGGUUGUAAAUCCCUUUCAGCGGGGAAGAUAAUGACGGUACCCGCAGAAGAAGCCCCGGCUAACUCCGUGCCAGCAGCCGCGGUAAUACGGAGGGGGCUAGCGUUGUUCGGAAUUACUGGGCGUAAAGCGCACGUAGGCGGACUGUUUAGUCAGAGGUGAAAUCCCGGGGCUCAACCUCGGAAUUGCCUUUGAUACUGACAGUCUUGAGUCCGAGAGAGGUGAGUGGAAUUCCGAGUGUAGAGGUGAAAUUCGUAGAUAUUCGGAGGAACACCAG